rnacentral:rRNA from 1 species
UGCUGAGUGAAUCUUCUUCAGUUCAAAGUUUGAUUUCUUCUUACUUAAGAUACAAUAAACAGAAUUUUUAUUUUCCAAUCCCGCAAAACCAAUGUUUCCAAGUUUUAAUUUUUCGUCAAUAAAAAUUGUGAUUUCCAUUCGGAAUUGAUCCGCAUGAUAACUAAGUGUAUGCGGUGCGAAGACGUAGCACCGGGGAGUUUUUGACUGGGGCGGUACGUCUGUCAAACGGUAACGCAGGUGUCCCAAGGAGGGCUCAGCGUGGACGGAAACCACACGUCGAGCAAAAGGGCAAAAGCUCGCUCGAUCUCGAUUGUCAGUACGAAUACGGACCGCGAAAGCGUAGCCCAUCGAUCCUUUCCGAACUGCAGCGAGCUAUGCGUCCGCCGAGAGGUGUCAGAAAAGUUACCACA